rfam:Ruminococcus sp. CAG:724 genomic scaffold, scf149
GGGGCCGUAAAGGUUUCGACGGGGAUUUUGCAGUACGGUAAGCGAGCGGAGAUGCGAUACCUCCUUAAACAAUCGCAAACUUAAAUAUAAACGCUAACAAUAAUAAAAUAGCAAUGGCUGCCUAACGGCAGUGCUGCGGCUUUUCAGCCGCCCGUCACUCCCUUGAGUAUCACGGCUUGGGACUUGGCGUCAUGCAGUGAUGAACGCGAACGGAGAUUUUUCCUGUUGUAUCCGUCGUGAAUAAAACAGAUACUUUUCAUGCAGCCUGACUGACGGCGGUAUGAGAGGGAAUUUCAAAAGACAGUCUGCGCUCGGAGAAAGCUGUAUGAAUAGAUUUUCGGACAGGGGUUCGACUCCCCUCGGCUCCACCA